UACGUAGGGGGCUAGCGUUGUCCGGAUUUAUUGGGCGUAAAGAGCUCGUAGGCGGUGUGUCGCGUCGGCCGUGAAAACUUGGGGCUUAACUCUGAGCGUGCGGUCGAUACGGGCAUCACUUGAGUUCGGCAGGGGAGACUGGAAUUCCUGGUGUAGCGGUGAAAUGCGCAGAUAUCAGGAGGAACACCGGUGGCGAAGGCGGGUCUCUGGGCAGUAACUGACGCUGAGGAGCGAAAGCGUGGGGAGCGAACAGG
rnacentral:rRNA from 1 species